GACGAACGCUGGCGGCGUGCUUAACACAUGCAAGUCGAGCGGUAAGGCCCUUUCGGGGGUACACGAGCGGCGAACGGGUGAGUAACACGUGGGUGACCUGCCCUUAGCUCUGGGAUAAGCCUGGGAAACUGGGUCUAAUACCGGAUAUGACUCCAUAACGCAUGUUGUGGGGUGGAAAGCCUUGUGCGGCUAGGGAUGGGCCCGCGGCCUAUCAGCUUGUUGGUGGGGUGAUGGCCACCAAGGCGACGACGGGUAGCCGGCCUGAGAGGGCG
rnacentral:rRNA from 1 species